CUAUCUAAGCGGUGCGUUUUGAACCUGGGAUUAUGGGUUUUGAUCAUCUCCUCUCUCAAAAGCUCACUCCUUUCUAUCUUCUCUCUCUAGCCAAACUGAAGUCAAGAUGCAAUCGAUUGAUUUUUUUCAAGUAAUGAAGUGGAAGUCCAUGGAUGCUAAAGAUUGGAUUUUUUUUUUAUUUGAUUUUCAAUGUUCUCUUUGUUUUUGUAUCUGGGUUUAGCUUAAAAUAUAAAUUAAUGUAAUAUUUAGAUGUGAGUAAUUGAUUUUAGGUGGUGAAAUGGAAUUCAAUGGAUGCUAAAGAUGGAGUUUUUAUUUAUUUGUA